CGGACGAACGCUGGCGGCGUGCCUUCGAGCGGAGAUAGUGGAGCUUGCUCCAUUAUCUUAGCGGCGGACGGGUGAGUAACACGUGGGCAACCUGCCCUGCAGAUCGGGAUAACUCCGGGAAACCGGUGCUAAUACCGAAUAGUUUGCGGCCUCUCAUGAGGCUGCACGGAAAGACGGUUUCGGCUGUCACUGCAGGAUGGGCCCGCGGCGCAUUAGCUAGUUGGUGAGGUAACGGCUCACCAAGGCCACGAUGCGUAGCCGACCUGAGAGGGUGAUCGGCCACACUGGGACUGAGACACGGCCCAGACUCCUACGGGAGGCAGCAGUAGGGAAUCUUCCGCAAUGGACGAAAGUCUGACGGAGCAACGCCGCGUGAGUGAAGAAGGUUUUCGGAUCGUAAAACUCUGUUGUGAGGGAAGAACAAGUACCAAUUAACUAUGGUACCUUGACGGACCUCACCAGAAAGCCACGGCUAACUACGUGCCAGCAGCCGCGGUAUACGUAGGUGGCAAGCGUUGUC
rnacentral:rRNA from 1 species